rnacentral:rRNA from 1 species
GAUGAACGCUGGCGGCGUGCCUAAUACAUGCAAGUCGAGCGAAGCGGGGACGGGUGAGUAACACGUGGAUAACCUCCUUUCAGAGGGGGAUAACACUUGGAAACAGGUGCUAAACCGGAUAAUUCUAGCUGGAUCCGCGCUGCAUUAGCUAGUUGGUAAGGUAACGGCUUACCAAGGGAACGAUGCAUAGCCGACCUUAGAGGGUGAUCGGCCACACUGGAACUGAGACACGGUCCAGACUCCUACGGGAGGCAGCAGGAGGGAAUCUUCCGCAAUGGGCGAAAGCCUGACUGAGCAACGCCGCGUGAGUGAUGAAGGUCUUCGGAUCGUAAAGCUCUGUUAUUAGGGAAGCGGUACCUAAUCAGAAAGCCACGGCUAACUACGUGCCAGCAGCCGCGGUAAUUC